UGAAAAAGCACUUUAGACGUUUGUCUCA
rnacentral:piRNA from 1 species